GAAGUGCGAUAAGCAAUGCGAAUUGCAGAACCGUGAGUCAUCAGAUUUUUGAACGCAACUGGCACUGAUUGGAAACCCAAUCAGUAUGCUUGUUUCAGUGUCUUUUUAUCUCAUCACCCAAAUCAUAAUGCGAGAGAUACCCUUCUCUUGUUAAGCAUGAAAGCACUCUGCGCUCAGCGAGCGACUUCGAUUCGUCGAUGGUCGCACUCAAUGCAGCAGUCACAUUGCUCACAAUGUGAACUCAUUGAGAGCUGAGGCAGUGCGGCGAAAGCUGCCAGUGCUUAGUCACUCAAACUUUAUUUGCAUCUGAAAUCAAGCAGGAUCACCCGCUGAACUUAA
rnacentral:misc_RNA from 1 species